rnacentral:rRNA from 2 species
AGGAACGCUAAUACCGCAUACGUCCUACGGGAGAAAGUGGGGGAUCUUCGGACCUCACGCUAUCAGAUGAGCCUAGGUCGGAUUAGCUAGUUGGUGAGGUAAAGGCUCACCAAGGCGACGAUCCGUAACUGGUCUGAGAGGAUGAUCAGUCACACUGGAACUGAGACACGGUCCAGACUCCUACGGGAGGCAGCAGUGGGGAAUAUUGGACAAUGGGCGAAAGCCUGAUCCAGCCAUGCCGCGUGUGUGAAGAAGGUCUUCGGAUUGUAAAGCACUUUAAGUUGGGAGGAAGGGCAGUAAGUUAAUACCUUGCUGUUUUGACGUUACCAACAGAAUAAGCACCGGCUAACUUCGUGCCAGCAGCCGCGGUAAUACGAAGGGUGCAAGCGUUAAUCGGAAUUACUGGGCGUAAAGCGCGCGUAGGUGGUUCGUUAAGUUGGAUGUGAAAGCCCCGGGCUCAACCUGGGAACUGCAUCCAAAACUGGCGAGCUAGAGUAUGGCAGAGGGUGGUGGAAUUUCCUGUGUAGCGGUG